UGGGGAAUAUUGGACAAUGGGCGAAAGCCUGAUCCAGCCAUGCCGCAUGAGUGAAGAAGGCCUUUGGGUUGUAAUGCUCUUUUAGUGAGGAAGAUAAUGACGGUACUCACAGAAGAAGUCCUGGCUAACUCCGUGCCAGCAGCCGCGGUAAUACGGAGAGGGCUAGCGUUAUUCGGAAUUAUUGGGCGUAAAGGGCGCGUAGGCUGGUUAAUAAGUUAAAAGUGAAAUCCCGAGGCUUAACCUUGGAAUUGCUUUUAAAACUAUUAAUCUAGAGAUUGAAAGAGGAUAGAGGAAUUCCUGAUGUAGAGGUAAAAUUCGUAAAUAUUAGGAGGAACACCAGUGGCGAAGGCGUCUAUCUGGUUCAAAUCUGACGCUGAAGCGCGAAGGCGUGGGGAGCAAACA
rnacentral:rRNA from 1 species